rnacentral:lncRNA from 1 species
UUUUUUCUUUCUUUUUUUUUUUGUCUUUUCAUUUUAGGGCCACGCCCACAGCAUAUGGAGGUUCCCAGGCCAGGGGUCUAAUUGGAGCUAUAGCUACUGGCCUCCACCAGAGCCACAGCCACACGGGAUCCAAGCCACGUCUGCCACCUACACCACAGCUCAUGGCACCGCCGGAUCCUCAACCCACUGAGUGAAGCCAGGGAUCAAACCCACGUCCUCGUGGAUGCUAGUCGGGUUUGCUAACUGCUGAGCCACAGCGGGAGCUCCUCCUAUUUGUGUUUUAUGUUAUCUAUUAUUUUAAUUUGUUUCUGAGGGUAGUCAGAUUUUCUUCUACCUGCGAUGUUGCAUUUAUAUAAAAGCAGAAGGAUUCAUUUAACACAGCACAGAGUCCCCCUUGCUGGGCAGUAAGGCCAUCCAGCCCUCGUCCGUUCUGUAACACCACUGUGCCAAGGAGUCGAGUCCUUGUUGUUGGGCUUCUAUGGCCACUACAGUGGCCUUCCACGAUUCUUGAGGCAUUAUAGUCACGUUAAGCACAGAUCUUUCUAACAGGGGUUUUCCAGCAAACCGAAAUCAUCCUCUAAAGAUGGAACAUCAGAGUUCCCGUCGUGGCUCAGUGGUUGACGAAUCCGAUGCGGAACCAGGAGGUUGCAGCUUCGAUCCCGGGCCUCGCUCAGUGGGUUAAGGAUCCGGCGUUGCCGUGAGCUGUGGUGUAGGUUGCAGACGCGACUCAGAACCCACAUGGCUGUGGCUGUGGCUGUGGCUGUGGCGUAGGCCAGCAGUUACAGCUCCGAAUGGACCCCAGCCUGGGAACCUCCAUACGCUGCGGGUGCAGCCCUAAAAGAUAGAAAGACAAAAAACCCAAAAAACCAAUGCUUCCUGAGGCCACCAUUUGUGUUGGACUUUUAAGUUGUAACUCUGGCAGGGCGAAAACUAUGCUGCAUCUUCCCCUCCACCUGCGGGGUAAGCUCUCCUACAGCCUGUUCCCGCAGAGGAGACAGAAUCCCGUUCCCUUUAAGACACCCCGGUUGUGGACCCUCGCACCCGUGCUCUUGAAUGUGAUAUGAGCACAUCUCUUGGGUGGAUGAACGGGUCCCAAGGUUCAUCCCACUUUAGGCUCUGUGGCCUUCACCCUGAGACGUACUUGUCUACACAGAGUGGGCUGUACUGGGGAUCCAUCUGCUUGUGUGCAUGGAGGAGGUUUUGGCAAACCGGAUUCCGGAAUAUGAGCUGUGUGACCGCGUGGUGUUGGGCGUGGUCUGUAUCACUUGCGCUUGGGGGUCGGAGGGACCCUGUUUGUCGGCCGGCGCCGUGACCUCCUGGCUGGUCCCUGUCUUUGCACUGCCUGGGGCCGGAAAGCCUCGUCCGGCCGUUUGGUUGCAUUCUGGGUGCUGCCGCCCCGCGUGAACUGGCACCUUCGCCUUCGCCAUCUCUCCCCUGGUAACAGACAUCGUGCCGCCAUCUCCAUUCCAAGACGCCCACCCGGGUUCGCUGUAGAAACUGCCGUUUUCGGAAGCCUCCCUUCCC